rnacentral:rRNA from 1 species
GAUGAACGCUGGCGGCGUGCCUAAUACAUGCCAGUCGAGCGAACAGACGAGGAGCUUGCUCCUCUGACGUUAGCGGCGGACGGGUGAGUAACACGUGGAUAACCUACCUAUAAGACUGGGAUAACUUCGGGAAACCGGAGCUAAUACCGGAUAAUAUAUUGAACCGCAUGGUUCAAUAGUGAAAGACGGUUUUGCUGUCACUUAUAGAUGGAUCCGCGCCGCAUUAGCUAGUUGGUAAGGUAACGGCUUACCAAGGCAACGAUGCGUAGCCGACCUGAGAGGGUGAUCGGCCACACUGGAACUGAGACACGGUCCAGACUCCUACGGGAGGCAGCAGUAGGGAAUCUUCCGCAAUGGGCGAAAGCCUGACGGAGCAACGCCGCGUGAGUGAUGAAGGUCUUCGGAUCGUAAAACUCUGUUAUUAGAGAAGAACAAAUGUGUAAGUAACUAUGCACGUCUUGGCGGUACCUAAUCAGAAAGCCACGGCUAACUACGUG